GGUUAAGUGACUAAGCGUACAUGGUGGAUGCCUUGGCAGUCAGAGGCGAUGAAGGACGUACUAACCUGCGAUAAGCUGUGAGAAGUCGGUAAGAGACGCUAUUACUCACAGAUUUCCGAAUGGGGAAACCCACCCAAGAUAACUUGGGUAUCGUUGCAUGAAUACAUAGUGCAACGAGGCGAACCGGGAGAACUGAAACAUCUAAGUACCCCGAGGAAAAGAAAUCAACCGAGAUUCCCUCAGUAGCGGCGAGCGAACGGGGAUUAGCCCUUAAGUUUCUUGGAAGUUAGUGGAAUGGUCCUGGAAAGGCCAGCGAUACAGGGUGAUAGCCCCGUACAUGAAAACGACCUUGAAGUGAAAUCGAGUAGGGCGGGACACGUGACAUCCUGUCUGAAUAUGGGGGGACCAUCCUCCAAGGCUAAAUACUCCUGACUGACCGAUAGUGAACCAGUACCGUGAGGGAAAGGCGAAAAGAACCCCUGUGAGGGGAGUGAAAUAGAACCUGAAACCGUGUACGUACAAGCAGUGGGAGCCCUUCGGGGUGACUGCGUACCUUUUGUAUAAUGGGUCAGCGACUUACAUUUUGUAGCGAGGUUAACCGUAUAGGGGAGCCGUAGGGAAACCGAGUCUUAACUGGGCGUCUAGUUGCAAGGUGUAGACCCGAAACCGGGUGAUCUAGCCAUGGGCAGGUUGAAGGUUGAGUAACAUCAACUGGAGGACCGAACCCACUAACGUUGCAAAGUUAGGGGAUGACCUGUGGCUGGGGGUGAAAGGCCAAUCAAACUCGGAGAUAGCUGGUUCUCCCCGAAAGCUAUUUAGGUAGCGCCUCGGACGAAUACUACUGGGGGUAGAGCACUGUUUGGACUAGGGGGUCAUCCCGACUUACCAACUCCAUGCAAACUCCGAAUACCAGUAAGUACUAUCCGGGAGACACACGGCGGGUGCUAACGUCCGUCGUGAAGAGGGAAACAACCCAGACCGCCGGCUAAGGUCCCAAAGUUCUGGUUAAGUGGGAAACGAUGUGGGAAGGCUCAGACAGCUAGGAUGUUGGCUUAGAAGCAGCCAUCAUUUAAAGAAAGCGUAAUAGCUCACUAGUCGAGUCGGCCUGCGCGGAAGAUGUAACGGGGCUCAAACCAGGCACCGAAGCCGCGGAU
rnacentral:rRNA from 1 species